GACGUAGGGUGCAAGCGUUGUCCGGAUUUAUUGGGCGUAAAGAGCUCGUAGGCGGCUCGUCGCGUCGACUGUGAAAACUCGGGGCUUAACCCUGGGCCUGCAGUCGAUACGGGCGGGCUAGAGUUCGGUAGGGGAGACUGGAAUUCCUGGUGUAGCGGUGAAAUGCGCAGAUAUCAGGAGGAACACCGGUGGCGAAGGCGGGUCUCUGGGCCGAUACUGACGCUGAGGAGCGAAAGCGUGGGGAGCAAACAGG
rnacentral:rRNA from 1 species